UUGGAGGGCAAGUCUGGUGCCAGCAGCCGCGGUAAUUCCAGCUCCAAUAGCGUAUAUUAAAGUUGUUGCAGUUAAAAAGCUCGUAGUUGAAUUUCGGGGUUAGCAGGUUGGUCGUGCCACUGGUAUGAACUGGCCUUGCUGAUUCCUCCCUCUUGAUGAGCCGUAAUGCCAUUAAUUUGGUGUUGCGAGGAAUCAGGACUGUUACUUUGAAAAAAUUAGAGUGUUUAAAGCAGGCAAGCGCUUGAAUACAUUAGCAUGGAAUAAUGAAAUAGGACGUUUGAUCUUAUUUUGUUGGUUUCUAAGAUUGACGUAAUGAUUAAUAGGGAUAGUUGGGGGCAUUAGUAUUCAAUUGUCAGAGGUGAAAUUCUUGGAUUUAUUGAAGACUAACUACUGCGAAAGCAUUUGCCAAGGAUGUUUACAUUAAUCAAGAACGAAAGUUAGGGGAUCGAAGACGAUCAGAUACCGUCGUAGUCUUAACCAUAAACUAUGCCGACUAGGGAUCGGAUGAUGUUAAUUUUUUAAUGACUCAUUCGGCGCCUUACGGGAAAC
rnacentral:rRNA from 1 species